rnacentral:rRNA from 1 species
CCUACGGGAGGCAGCAGUGAGGAAUAUUGGUCAAUGGACGAGAGUCUGAACCAGCCAAGUAGCGUGAAGGAUGACUGCCCUAUGGGUUGUAAACUUCUUUUAUAUGGGAAUAAAACGUUCCACGUGUGGGAUUUUGUAUGUACCAUAUGAAUAAGGAUCGGCUAACUCCGUGCCAGCAGCCGCGGUAAUACGGAGGAUCCGAGCGUUAUCCGGAUUUAUUGGGUUUAAAGGGAGCGUAGGUGGAUUGUUAAGUCAGUUGUGAAAGUUUGCGGCUCAACCGUAAAAUUGCAGUUGAAACUGGCAGUCUUGAGUACAGUAGAGGUGGGCGGAAUUCGUGGUGUAGCGGUGAAAUGCUUAGAUAUCACGAAGAAUUCCGAUUGCGAAGGCAGUUCACUGGACUGCAACUGACACUGAGGCUCGAAAGUGUGGGUAUCAAACAGGAUUAGAUACCCGAGUAGUC